rnacentral:rRNA from 1 species
GACGAACGCUGGCGGCGCGCCUAACACAUGCAAGUCGAACGAGCGAGAGAGAGCUUGCUUUCUCAAGCGAGUGGCGAACGGGUGAGUAACGCGUGAGGAACCUGCCUCAAAGAGGGGGACAACAGUUGGAAACGACUGCUAAUACCGCAUAAGCCCACGGCUCGGCAUCGAGCAGAGGGAAAAGGAGCAAUCCGCUUUGAGAUGGCCUCGCGUCCGAUUAGCUAGUUGGUGAGGUAACGGCCCACCAAGGCGACGAUCGGUAGCCGGACUGAGAGGUUGAACGGCCACAUUGGGACUGAGACACGGCCCAGACUCCUACGGGAGGCAGCAGUGGGGAAUAUUGCACAAUGGGGGAAACCCUGAUGCAGCGACGCCGCGUGGAGGAAGAAGGUCUUCGGAUUGUAAACUCCUGUUGUUGGGGAAGAUAAUGACGGUACCCAACAAGGAAGUGACGGCUAACUACGUGCCAGCAGCCGCGGUAAAACGUAGGUCACAAGCGUUGUCCGGAAUUACUGGGUGUAAAGGGAGCGCAGGCGGGAAGACAAGUUGGAAGUGAAAUCUAUGGGCUCAACCCAUAAACUGCUUUCAAAACUGUUUUUCUUGAGUAGUGCAGAGGUAGGCGGAAUUCCCGGUGUAGCGGUGGAAUGCGUAGAUAUCGGGAGGAACACCAGUGGCGAAGGCGGCCUACUGGGCACCAACUGACGCUGAGGCUCGAAAGUGUGGGUAGCAAACAGGAUUAGAUACCCUGGUAGUCCACAUCGUAAACGAUGAUUACUAGGUGUUGGGGGAUUGACCCCUUCAGUGCCGCAGUUAACACAAUAAGUAAUCCACCUGGGGAGUACGACCGCAAGGUUGAAACUCAAAGGAAUUGACGGGGGCCCGCACAAGCAGUGGAGUAUGUGGUUUAAUUCGACGCAACGCGAAGAACCUUACCAAGUCUUGACAUCCCUUGACGAUGCUGGAAACAGUAUUUCUCUUCGGAGCAAGGAGACAGGUGGUGCAUGGUUGUCGUCAGCUCGUGUCGUGAGAUGUUGGGUUAAGUCCCGCAACGAGCGCAACCCUUAUGGUCAGUUACUACGCAAGAGGACUCUGGCCAGACUGCCGUUGACAAAACGGAGGAAGGUGGGGAUGACGUCAAAUCAUCAUGCCCUUUAUGACUUGGGCUACACACGUACUACAAUGGCGUUAAACAAAGAGAAGCAAGACCGCGAGGUGGAGCAAAACUCAGAAACAACGUCCCAGUUCGGACUGCAGGCUGCAACUCGCCUGCACGAAGUCGGAAUUGCUAGUAAUCGUGGAUCAGCAUGCCACGGUGAAUACGUUCCCGGGCCUU